UACAGAGGGUGCAAGCGUUGUUCGGAAUUAUUGGGCGUAAAGCGCGUGUAGGCGGCUUUGCAAGUCGGGUGUGAAAGCCCUCAGCUCAACUGAGGAAGUGCGCCCGAAACUGCAGAGCUUGAGUGCCGGAGAGGGUGGCGGAAUUUCCGGUGUAGCGGUGAAAUGCGUAGAUAUCGGAAGGAACAUCAGUGGCGAAAGCGGCUCACUGGCCCGUUACUGACGCUGAGGCACGAAAGCGUGGGGAGCAAACAGG
rnacentral:rRNA from 1 species